rnacentral:rRNA from 1 species
GGGCGUAAAGAGCUCGUAGGCGGUUAGUCACGUCGGAUGUGAAAACUCAGAGCUUAACUCUGAGCCUGCAUUCGAUACGGGCUGACUAGAGUGUUGUAGGGGAGACUGGAACUCCUGGUGUAGCGGUGAAAUGCGCAGAUAUCAGGAAGAACACCGGUGGCGAAGGCGGGUCUCUGGGCAACUACUGACGCUGAGGAGCGAAAGCGUGGGGAGCAAACAGGACUAGAUACCCUGGUAGUCCACCCCGUAAACGUUGGGAACUAGUUGUGGGGUCCAUUCCACGGAUUCCGUGACGCAGCUAACGCAUUAAGUUCCCCGCCUGGGGGGUACGGCCGCAAGGCUAAAACUCAAAGGAAUUGACGGGGACCCGCACAAGCGGCGGAGCAUGCGGAUUAAUUCGAUGCAACGCGAAGAACCUUACCAAGGCUUGACAUAUACGAGAACGGGCCAGAAAUGGUCAACUCUUUGGACACUCGUAAACAGGUGGUGCAUGGUUGUCGUCAGCUCGUGUCGUGAGAUGUUGGGUUAAGUCCCGCAACGAGCGCAACCCUCGUUCUAUGUUGCCAGCACGUAAUGGUGGGAACUCAUGGGAUACUGCCGGGGUCAACUCGGAGGAAGGUAAU